rnacentral:rRNA from 1 species
AGCGAACGCUGGCGGCAGGCUUAACACAUGCAAGUCGAGCGGGCGUAGCAAUACGUCAGCGGCAGACGGGUGAGUAACGCGUGGGAACAUACCUUUUGGUUCGGAACAACACAGGGAAACUUGUGCUAAUACCGAAUAAGCCCUUACGGGGAAAGAUUUAUCGCCGAAAGAUUGGCCCGCGUCUGAUUAGCUUGUUGGUGAGGUAACGGCUCACCAAGGCGACGAUCUGUAGCUGGUCGAGAGGACGACCAGCCACACUGGGACUGAGACACGGCCCAGACUCCUACGGGAGGCAGCAGUGGGGAAUUUUGGACAAUGGGCGCAAGCCUGAUCCAGCCAUGCCGCGUGCGGGAAGAAGGCCUUCGGUUGUAACCGUACUUU